rnacentral:lncRNA from 1 species
CUCACACAUACAGUAAAUGAGCAGCAGUAGACAAACAAUUUGGAGCAGAACUCCGGAUAUUCUUGUACUUAAUGUUUGUCAUGUAAGGUCAAAAGUCACCAUUGUCAUGCGAAACCCUGUAUCCCCAUCUUGCUUUAUUGAUCUUCCAGCAGUUGGCAAUGAGAGGUUGACCUACAGAUUGAGCUCAGUAAUCUGUCAUUCAGGGAUAAACGCACAAAAAGAACACGACUGGGCACAUUUUAUAUUUGAUUCACUUAAUCUCUAUAGAGAUAAUCUUAAUCUUAUUUUUAUAGAAUCUACAAACAUUGAGGACACAGCAGGAGUUAUAUGUUUGUAUGAAUUAUGUAAUGAGGGCCUUCACAGAAGCUUUAUCAGUGAGCAAGGACAGCCAUGUGAGUCCGAUUCAGAUAGUGAUGUUAUUCCAACAUGUAACUAUUUUCCCAAUCAUCUUGAGGGUAAAGCUUUCCUGUUUUGACAUUUCUGAAGAAAACAUCUGCUUUCAAAGAAUGUCACAAAAGAUUACUUAAAGCAAACAGUGUGAGUCCAAAUCAGCAAUUUGGCAAAGUAAUUUCACAGUUGGAUGCAGUGAAAACAGGACAGACUACACAACCAUUGUUUUAACAGACUUCAAAACAGCGAUAUGUGUGACAGAAUAUUUUGUGAAGGAAAUGCUACCUGCAAAUUUCUAAGCCAAUGAUCUCCUCCACAUUCAAAGUGUAUGCUCUCAAAAUUGCAGUCAGUGCAAGAAAGCCAUGUAUAGCCAGGGUAAAAAAACAAAUUGUUGAACCAAGUCAAUACAGAAAGAGGCAUCAAAUAAUUCCUUUCACCACAAGCAUCCCAAGAAAACAAGAUUUGUAAAACAUGUAAUACUUCAAACAAUUUUUAGCGGUCAGGCUUUUUAAUGUCAUCCAUGCUCCAAAGGCAUUACUAGAGACAACCAAAACUCUUACAACUCUUACAUCUUACUAACGAGGAUUAUAAAUAUUAAGGAAUGACAACAAGUGGUUCAAUGACCGAAUAAUUGACAGGUGCAAUUAUCUUUUGAAGUCACAUCUGAAGGAACAAUGGCAUGCAAGGAUAUGUUUUAUGAGUUAUCAGAGAGAAAAUUACUACGUAAUACAUUUAAAACCACAGAAAAUGCCUUUGCUGAGCUUGAUAGAUAAUCAUCACGUCUCUGUAUUGUAUAUUAUCUUUCCAUCUUGUCUCCGUUAUUGGUUUUGAAAACUUGGUUAAUAGGCCUUUACAGAACAAAGUGCUGCUGGAUAAUUAAGAUACAGUCCCCUUCCAAAACUAACCAUAUUUGGUUAUUAGAGACCCUACUGAGUAUUUUCCACCCCACUUUAGCUGAGACAUGUUGAAAUGGUUUCUCUCUAAAGCCCAAUAUGCUCAACAGACCAGUCUCAACAUUUAAUUUUUUCAUAAUUACUUAUUGCAUUUUCUUGUUGGCACAAUAACAGUGGCCAUUGACAACAAAAUAUAUAAUUUAAAUGAGUUAUCCAAAAUAAGCAAUGUUUUGAAAUGCAGGCUUUUAUUUUUUAAGGUUUCCUCAUUACCACACUACAGUGAUGUAAUCGUUUGUGCUGCUGGCAGAAUACUAGUAAGGACAUUUAUGGAUUUGCUUUAUGUGGCUACUUGCUAGCUAACGUUAUUGUGAAUAAUGUUUUGGAUUAUCUAUUACAAAACGUUUACGGCAUCGUUUUCAUAAAAUGGAUAUCAUUGUCUCGCUGUGUUUCAGUAACGUUAGAACAUCGGACUGGGGCUCCCAAGUGGCGCAGCGGUCUAAGGCGCUGCAUCUCAGUGCUAGAGGUGUCACUACAGACCCUGGUUUGUUUCCAGGCUGUAUCACAACCGGCCGUGAUUGGGAGUCCCAUAGGGCAGCGCACAAUUGGCCCAGUGUCAUCCAGUUUAGGGUUUGGCUGGUGUAGGCAGCCAUUGUAAAUCAUAAUUUGUUCUUAACUGACUUGCCUAGUUAAAUAAACACAUUUUAAAAAGACUCAUGCAUGCCGACAGAUGGUUCGCUGGCUAGAUGCUAGCUAAAUGUCUAACUUGAGAAGUUGACAGCAAUAUAGAGGAUGUAAUUUUGCUCAGCUCGGGGAGUGGAGAGGACUCGGAUGUUGAAGUUCUAGGUGUUUACAGUGACACCGAGAACAAGGCCUAGGCAAGGCCAUUUAUCAGGGGAGGAUGGGUCAAUCAUGCUGCUUACACACAGGUAAAAGUGUUCCCCGUGAAGUAGCAAUGGCUACCCGGUGACUACGGCAGCAGAGAGGCAUGUUUGACUCACUCAUUGCAUGUGUGAAAACACAACAGAACAAGAACUGUAGCGAGUAAUUAUUUUGAUAAAAAUAUAUUUACACUGUACAGCAAAUUAGUUAUGGCUAGUUAAUUGAUGAGUUGGGGUUGCCAAACCAGCUGGGAGCGUGCCACAACUGUCACUUGACUCGUCACACGUCACUCACUAGGUCCCACCCCCUCCUCAGGUAAAGCUUGGGAUUUUCUUAUUCAAUUAGCUAGCUAGAUAAAGCUAUAGGUAAAGUUAUAGCUAGUAUGUAUUUGUGGAAGAUGUUCAAUGUAGUGUAGCCACUGGACCACUUGACUUACAAGCUUGAGAGUACUGUAAAUUCCGGACUAUAAGCCGCAACUUUUUUCCCAGGCUUUGAACCUCGAGGCUUAAACAAUAUAUGGAUUUUUCCCGCUUUAAAAAAAAUUUCCGCAAAAAAAUAAAAACAUUCUGUGACGUGCUGUUUUUUGCCGGCAUGAAGCUUUCAUUAGACCAAUGAAAUUGCCGAACGGGUUACGGUCAAAAACUUUUUUGUUUACUGUUUAGAUUAAAUAGAGCGCUCUCAAACUUCCCAUCAUUCUGAUUACGGUAGUCAUUUUGUCACCCUCAUCAUGGCAAAGACACAGAGAAAUGCAUAUGAUGCAUCUUUCAAGUUGAAGGCGAUUGAUCUGGCUGUUGGAAAAGGAAAUAGAGCUGCUGCACGGGAGCUUGGUCUUAAUGAGUCGAUGAUAAGACGUUGGAAACAGCAGCAUGAGGAAUUGACUCAGUGCAAAAAGACAACUAAAGCUUACUGCUAAUUUUUUAUUUCUUGUUACAAGCCGUGUUUCGUUAAAGCCUAUUUAUUUUUGUUACAAGCCGUGUUUCGUUAAAGCCUGUGUAAAGUUAAUUUGUUUCAAAGUAACCGGUAGGCACCUGCGGCUUAUAGACAUGUGCGGCUUAUUUAUGUUCAAAAUAAUAUAUAUUUUUUAAUUCAGUGGGUGCGGCUUAUAUUCAGGUGCGCUUAAUAGUCCGGAAAUUACAGUAGGCUAAAUCGGUGUUAGUUUGCUAGCUAGCUAACAGAUAGCUAACAUCAUUGAUAAGAGCCUUCCCUGUGGCUCAGUUGGUAGAGCAUGGUGUUUGCAACGCCAGCAUGGUGUGUGCAACGCCAGGGUUGUAGGUUCAAUUCCCACGGGGGGCCAGUACAAAAAAAAAAGUGUCUGCUAAAUGACUAAAAUGUAAAAUAACGCUGGGCAGGCCUCUUGCUAGCUUUCACUCAAAUGCGAGGGACUGCCUUGCUGGCUAAAAACACAUAGAUAAUGAAUAUAUUGUUCUAUGAUAGUAAGUUAGCUUGCUAAAUAAUAGUGUCUGCAGUCUAUGGCAUCCAUAUUCACCACCCUCAGAUCACAGCCCAAUGCAAAUGUAUGAAAACACUUCAAUGUAAUAUACUUUGUGUUGAUCUUCACCUCAAAGUAAGCAUAAUCUCAUUCUAGUUCUUCUGUGGUUGACCUGUCUCUCAGUUUGUGAUUGACUUUACUGGUCAGAGGUGGGCUCUCCCACCAUCAAGGAGGCGCAGGGGGAGGGACCUAGGUGGGCCCGUAGAAGUGGGGGACUUUAUUGACAACAACCACUCGGAUCACUCAGAUCCAGGGCAGGUGAAUCCACUACCCCAGGGAGAUAAAAAUACUAAUGGAAUCUCAAAACAUAAAGGACCGCACACCAGAAGUCCAGGUUCUCUGUCCCGCUCCCCAACUAAACAAGAUUUGAAUGAGAACAAAGCAGGAUUUAAUAGCAGAAGAAAGGGACAUUAUUGAAUCCAAUUCGCUCAGGGAUUCUUCUUCGACUGGACCAUCAAAUGACAAGAAAGCCAUGAAAAGCUCAGACACAGACAUUCCAAUAUGUUCAAUAAAAUCACCAAGUGCGUCUAAAUCUGAACAGCCUGCAGUGGCAGGAGCCUCAGGGUCUUCUACUAACCAGAUAACUGGGAAGUCACAACAAUACUCAGGUAAACCUUCUCAACCAUUGUUUGAAGGAAAAGAAGAGCCAGAAUGCUUAAAGUCUGAGACUUCGACCUCUAUAACCAUUCCAAAUGAAGCUCAGACAAGCUGCACUGGAGAAGUAGAAAAUGGUGUAUUGGAAGAGCAAGAAACAGUCUAUUACAAGGAACAAACCUCUUUUGACAGAGAAAUAUAAACAACCAAGGUCCGCACAAUCACUACUAGACAACACUCUCCCUCACCCCCUAAAGCCUACACUGCAAGUCAGCUCUCAAAAACAAGAAAUAAAAGCAAUACAAUUAGGGAAAUAUUACUUAAAAUAGGCAAAAUGAUCUGCCAACAGAACAGGAAAAUUUUACUUGACAAGAUUUUUUAAACAAGUUAAAAUAUCUAGUCUCAAAGAAUGUACAGAUAUCUUAAACCUAGUGCGUUCAGACUAAAAACAAGUAAUUUGUCUGGAUACAAAGAAAAGAUGUAAGAAUAAUUUUCUCAAUAUGUAGGAAAAUGUGCUUAAAUUUAGCAAAUGCUAGUGCCAUCAUCUUGAAAUAAGGCUAUAUGUUUAGUAAAUAUAUCUUAAAACCAGUACAGCUACACAAAAAAAAAGUACAUUUGUCUGUAUGCAAAUAAAAGAUUUAAGAAUUAUUUUCUAAAUCUGUAGGAAAAUGUGCUUAAAUUUAGAAUCCAAUGCUAUUGCAAUCGUCUUGAAAUAAGGCAAUAUUCCCAGGAAUUUACAGAAACAUUUUGCUUAAAAUAAGUAAUCUUGACUAAGAUAAAUGUACUUGUACUACUAUUAGAAAUGAGAUUGGCCAGCUUAAAGAAAGAAUGAAAGAGUGGCUCAGUUGGUAGAGCAUGGUGUUUGCAACACCAGGGUUGUGGGUUCAAUUCCCAUGGGGGACCAACACAGGGAAGGAAGAAAAAAAAAAAUGUAUGAAUUGUAUGCAUUCACUACUGUAAGUCGCUCUGAAUAAGAGCUUCUGCUAAAUGACUAAGAUGUAAAUGUGAUGAAUCUCAUUUCUUUUCACUUCUUUAUUGAAGACUCAGUAUAUCCAGAGGCUGAUAUGGGCAGAACUGGAUGCAAAAACAACAAAGGCCAUUGGUGGUCAAGGUGAAAAUGUAAGACCAAUGGGAAGAUAACAUUCAUAACAGUGCUUUAAACCUUCUUAUAAUAAACAACAAACGCCCUGUCUAUUUAUUAAAGGUUAUAGGAUCAGUUCUCGGAUGGGCCAAUACACAGUUUUGUUAUCGGGACUGGAAAUGAAAAAAUGGUAUUGUGCAACCCUAGUCAGUAAUGAACUUUUUCCACUCGGCCAUAGCCUUUUUAUAUGAAGAAGUCAUGUCCUGGUCGUGGAUGGCGUCCGAGAGGACUUCUGUCUGCAACACAGAGAGGAGUGUCACAAUGUACUUGGGAUAUGUGAGGUAAAGGUGUAAUAACACUCCAUGAGAUACGUCACGCUGGCAUAGAUGUCCUCUUUUGGGAAGGUCACCACAGGCAUGGUUCCAAUGGCCAGUACGCAGUUGGGUUCGCAGACAAUCACGACAGGGCUGAAGAGUGGUCUCGCCUGAAGAAAGGUCCCAGAGGAGGUGCCUGGUCUUCACAGGACAACAUUCAACCCGAUCAGCUUCUAGCUAACUCCAGCAUCACUGAUCAACAACUCCAUACAUCUGACUCAGAUGAAGGGCAAAGGGGCAUUGACCAACAUGAAGCUGUCACAGUGCAGCAAGAUCUGACAACACAUGCCACUGCUUUUGUGAUAAAUGAGAGCCAAGCAUCGUCUCUCACAGGCAUGAAUGACAUUGUUGCUGGGGUACAGCAGUAUCAAUCAUCACUAUUGGACAACCUCAGGAAGCAGAUGGAGUCAGUGCUAAGGAAGCGUUCAGGAAGCACAUCAGGUCAACUUGAAAAAGAUGCAAUGGAUAUAUUUGACAAUUUCAUUGACCCUUUUGCUGGCGUUGCAACAACAUUUAGACAAGACAGUGUUAUUAAGAAGCAGUUUAGCAGUUUGGAUGCAGAGGAAAUUCCAAUUGCUUGAACCAUAUGCAGGAUGAAAUGUGGAGGUUCAAAAUACAUUUUCAUCAAAGACAAAUUAUUUCAUUAUGUACCAUUAGUCAAAAGUCUAGAACAGUUCUUAUCACACCCAAGGAUUUUGUCUAUGGUUGAAAAGGGACCCCAGAUGUGUAACGGGCGUCGUAUGUAGUAGACCAAGGCGCAGCGGGUUGAGUGCUCAUCUUAAACUUUUAUUGAACACUUACAAAACAAGAAACCGAACACACAGUAUUGCAGGCUACACACACAGCUAUGCAAAAACAACUUCCCACAAAAGACAGGUGAAAACAGGGCUACCUAAGUAUGACUCCCAAUCAGUAACAACGAUGUACAGCUGUUCCUGAUUGAGAGCCAUACCAGGCCAACAAAGAAAUACACAACAUAGAAAAAACAUAGAAAUACAAAACAUAGAACAAUACCCAAAAACCCUGGAACACAUAAAACAAACACCCCCUGCCACGUCCUGACCAAACUACAAUAACAAAUAACCCCUUUACUGGUCAAGAUGUGCAAGGAAAGUUUUUUUUUCAUGACGUUGUUAAUGGUGCUCUUCUAAAAUCACAUACCUUUGGUUUCUCUGAAAAUAAGGGAUUGCAGAUUGUUCUGUACAUGGAUGAAAUAGAAAUCUGUAAUCCACUAGGAUCCUUUGCAUCAAAAAACAAGUUGUUAAUGGUGUACUACACCCUAGGAAAUAUAAAUCCAAAAUACAGGUCUAAACUGGCUGCUAUCAUGCUACUUGCCAUGGCUAGAUCAGCAGACCUCCGUCAAUCUGGUGUAGAUGUAAUAUUGAAUAGAAUCAAGGAAGACAUGGAUGCAUUGUAUGGAUGUAUUUGGCCCUGUCCGGGGGUAUCAUCGGAUGGGGCCACAGUGUCUUCUUAUCCCUCCUGUCUCAGCCUCCAGUAUUUAUGCUGCAGUAGUUUGUGUCGGGGGGCUAGGGUCAGUCUGUUACAUCUGGGGUAUUUCUCUUGUCUUGUCCGGUGUCCUGUGUGAAUUUAAAUAUGCUCUCUCUAAUUCUCUCCUUCUGUCUUUCUCUCGGAGGACCUGAGCCCUAGGACCAUGCCUCAGGACUACCUGGCAUGAUGACUCCUUGCUGUCCCCAGUCCACCUGGCCGUGCUGCUGCUCCAGUUUCAACUGUUCUGCCUGCGGCUAUGGAACCCUGACCUGUUCACCGGACGUACUUGUUGCAUCCUCGACAACUACUAUGAUUAUUAUUUGACCAUGCUGGUCAUUUAUGAACAUUUUAACAUCUUGACCAUGUUCUGUUAUAAUAUCCACUCUGCACAGCCAGAAGAGGACUGGCCACCCCUCAUAACCUGGUUCCUCUCUAGGUUUCUUCCUAGGUUUUUGGCCUUUGUAGGGAGUUUUUCCUAGGGAGUUUUUCCUAGCCACCGUGCUUCUUUCACAUGCAUUGCUUGCUGUUUGGGGUUUUAGGCUGGGUUUCUGAACAGCACUUUGAGAUAUCAGCUGAUGUACGAAGGGCUAUAUAAAUACAUUUGAUUUUUGAAAUUUGAUUGUACAGUGGGGUUAAAAUGCUAACUAUUAAUGGAGAGAAUUAUAUAUGGUGCCAUGGUCUCUCUGUGGAGACACCCUGGCACAACAUGAACUAGCAGGGUUCAAAGAGUGUGGGCUUUGCUACAGUAAGUGCAGACACUGAGUGUUCUUUUGAGGACAUGCAGUCACACUUCAAUGAGGAUGCAUAUACUAAAAGGACAUUGGCGAAGCAUGUCAGACAGUGUGAUGAAAUAGAAAAGGCACCAACUGACUUGCUUCACAACAGCCUGAGCACAACAUAUGGGAUCAAUAAAAGGAGCAAGUUAGUUGAAUUCCCAGCCUUUAUCAUACAACAAACUCCGCAAGACAUUAUGCAUGUAAUUCUGGAGGGCAUAGACCCAUUGGAAAUCAAAUGUUUUGAAUCAUCUUGUGUCAGGACAGAUUGAUCUGGACUCGGUGAAUUCUGCUAUUCUUGGUUUCCCUUAUUCCCCUCUAGAUGUUAGAGAUCGGCCAUCCCCAAUUUCAGUUAGUAGAUUAACGUCAAGUGAUGGUAAACUAAAACAGUCAUCUGGGCAAAUGCUUGUCCUGCUAAGGAUAUUGUCAUUUGUUUUGGAGAGUUUGGAAGUCAAUACAUAUAUACUACUGAUAAUUGAGCUAAUAGAGAUUGUACAGAUAGUAUUUACACCAGUUCUUUCCAUUGUGACUGUGUCUAGGUUGAAGUUACUCAUUGAAAAUCAUUUGAAGCAUUGGAAGGAGCUUUUUCCAGACCGCAAUGUUACACCUAAACAACAUGAUACAUUUUCCAUCACAGAUAAAGUUAUUGGGUCCAAUGGUUAGACAUAUGUGUAUGCGGUUCGAGUCUAAACAUUGUUUCUUUAAACAAUGGGUUUCCAAGCUCAAUUAAAAAAAUAUUUGCAAGUCUUUGAUCAAUCAGAACCAAAUAUAUGAAAACUGCCAAAAUGUUGACAGUUCAAUGCACCCAUUUUUUUUCAAAUGAAAGGGAGAUGGGACCUGUAUCAGAGGUUAAAGAUCUACAAUAUUUACGUGGAAAAUUGAGGGACUUCCUAGGUUUCAAUGAAGUAAACCAUUCUGUAUCAGUCAAAUGGCUUGAAAUAAAUACAUAACUCAGAAGUCCAUGAUCUUUGCCAAAGUACUGAAUGGUAAUAUGCCAGAAUUUGGACUGGUCAAAACAUAUUUCUUGUUGAUUCUAGGCUUUAUCGUUUGAAAUAUCAACCAUUUCAAACUAUACGCUUUGAGAGAAACGUCAUGGCUUAUCAAGUUGAGGUCCCACACCUUGCACAGGCCACUGAGUUACUGGAUGCUGAAAAGCUGGUUGAUUUGACCUCUUAUUACACAAUUAGCAACAAGAGCCAAACUUAUGUACAAGUCAAAUACCAUCUUUGGGAUGUAAUAGAAUUGUACAAUAGUUCAAAUGACUCAGUGUGUUCCCCAGAUAUGAAAAGUGUACUGUCUUUGUUCUGUACUGUAUUUUGUCUACAUGAUUGCUGUGCUGUGUGUAAGAUUGACAAUAAAACAGUGAAUUCCAUUUGGUCAA